rnacentral:rRNA from 1 species
CCUACGGGAGGCAGCAGUGGGGAAUCUUGCGCAAUGGCCUAACGGCUGACGCAGCGACGCCGCGUGAGGGAUGACGCUCUUCGGAGUGUAAACCUCUUUUGCCUGGAACGAAUUGCCAGCAUCAGCUGGCUUGACGGUACCGGGUGAAUAAGCACCGGCUAACUCCGUGCCAGCAGCCGCGGUAAUACGGGGGGUGCGAGCGUUGUCCGGAAUCACUGGGCGUAAAGGGCGCGUAGGUGGCGUGAUAAGGGUGUGGUGAAAGCCCGGGGCUCAACCCCGGGUCUGCCAUGCCGACUGUCAGGCUCGAGUACUGUAGGGGCAGGCGGAAUUCCGGGUGUAGCGGUGGAAUGCGUAGAGAUCCGGAGGAAGACCGGUGGCGAAGGCGGCCUGCUGGGCAGUUACUGACACUGAGGCGCGACAGCGUGGGGAGCAAACAGGGUUAGAUACCCUGGUAGUCCACGCCGUAAACGAUGGGUACUAGGUGCCUGGGGGAGCGACCCCUUGGGUGCCGACGCUAACGCAGGAAGUACCCCGCCUGGGGAGUACGGCCGCAAGGCUGAAACUCAAAGGAAUUGACGG